rnacentral:rRNA from 1 species
CCUACGGGGCGCAGCAGUGAGGAAUAUUGGUCAAUGGGCGGGAGCCUGAACCAGCCAAGUCGCGUGAGGGAAGAAGGUACUGAGUAUUGUAAACCUCUUUUGCCAGGGGACAAAGGCGGCCACGGGUGGCCGUAAGAGGGUACCUGGAGAAAAAGCAUCGGCUAACUCCGUGCCAGCAGCAGCGGUAAUACGGAGGAUGCGAGCGUUAUCCGGAUGUAGUGGGUUUAAGGUGUGCGCAGGCGGCGUGUCAAGUCAGCGGUAAAAUGGCGGGGCUCAACCCCGGCCGGCCGUUGAAACUGGCGUGGUCGAGUUGGAGAGAAGUAUGCGGAAUGCGUGGUGUAGCGGGGAAAUGCAUAGAUAGCACGAAGAACCCCGAUUGCGAAGGCAGCAUACCGGCUCCACACUGACGCUGAGGCACGAAAGCGUGGGUAUCGAACAGGAUUAGAUACCCUUGUAGUC